rnacentral:rRNA from 1 species
GACGAACGCUGGCGGCGUGCUUAACACAUGCAAGUCGAACGGAAAGGCCCUGCUUGCAGGGUACUCGAGUGGCGAACGGGUGAGUAACACGUGGGUGAUCUGCCCUGCACUUCGGGAUAAGCCUGGGAAACUGGGUCUAAUACCGGAUAUGACCUUCCAUGUAGUGUGGGGGGUGGAAAGAUUUAUCGGUGUGGGAUGAGCCCGCGGCCUAUCAGCUUGUUGGUGGGGUAAUGGCCUACCAAGGCGUCGACGGGUAGCCGGCCUGAGAGGGUGGACGGCCACAUUGGGACUGAGAUACGGCCCAGACUCCUACGGGAGGCAGCAGUGGGGAAUAUUGCACAAUGGGCGGAAGCCUGAUGCAGCGACGCCGCGUGGGGGAUGACGGCCUUCGGGUUGUAAACCUCUUUCGACAGGGACGAAGCUUCGGUCACGGUACCUGUAUAAGAAGCACCGGCUAACUACGUG